UCCUCUUAUCGAUUAUGGCGG
rnacentral:siRNA from 1 species